rnacentral:tRNA from 1 species
GAUAAAGUGGCUGAUAAUAGGUAAUAGAUUGUAAAUUUAUUUAUAAGAAAAAUUUCUUCUUUAUCA